GAUGAAGAACGCAGCGAAAUGCGAUAAGUAAUGUGAAUUGCAGAAUUCAGUGAAUCAUCGAAUCUUUGAACGCACAUUGCGCCCGCCAGCAUUCUGGCGGGCAUGCCUGUUCGAGCGUCAUUUCAACCCUCGAGCCCCCCCGGGGGCCUCGGUGUUGGGGGACGGCACACCAGCCGCCCCCGAAAUGCAGUGGCGACCCCGCCGCAGCCUCCCCUGCGUAGUAGCACACACCUCGCACCGGAGCGCGGAGGCGGUCACGCCGUAAAACGCCCAACUUUCUUAGAGUUGACCUCGGAUCAGGUAGGAAUACCCGCUGAACUUAAGCAUAUCAAUAAGCGGAGA
rnacentral:misc_RNA from 1 species